UGAGUAGGUCGGAUGGUCGCGGACGAAGUGCUGAAAAGCCUCGUACGAGGAAAGUCCGGGCUCCAUAGGGCAAAGGUGCCGGAUAACACCCGGUGAAGGCGACUUUAAGGAAAGUGCAACAGAAAUAGACCGCCACACUAGAGAUUAGAUGUUGGAAUUGGAUUCUCGCAUCUAACCUCUAGUGUGGUAAGGAUGGAAAGGCGAGGUAAGAGCUCACCGGCCCCACGGCGACGGAGGGCGCUAUGUAAACCCCACCUGGAGCAACACCGUGACAAGAAACACAAAGACUGCCCGUCUGUUUCUUAGAGGUGGCUAAAGCCUUGUAGUAAUACCAGGCAUAGAUAGAUGAUCGUUCAAGACAGAACCCGGCUUACAGUCCUGCUCAUAUU
rnacentral:RNase_P_RNA from 1 species